CAACCCUUGACAUGGGACGUAUGGGCACGAGAGAUCGGGUCCUUCAGUUCGGCUGGCGUCCACACAGGUGCUGCAUGGCUGUCGUCAGCUCGUGUCGUGAGAUGUUGGGUUAAGUCCCGCAACGAGCGCAACCCUCAUCUUCAGUUGCCAUCAUUUGGUUGGGCACUCUGAAGAAACUGCCGGUGACAAGCCGGAGGAAGGCGGGGAUGACGUCAAGUCCUCAUGGCCCUUACGGGUUGGGCCACACACGUGCUACAAUGGCGGUGACAAUGGGGUGCAAAGGCGCGAGCCCGAGCCGAUCUCAAAAAGCCGUCUCAGUUCGGAUUGCACUCUGCAACUCGGGUGCAUGAAGUUGGAAUCGCUAGUAAUCGCGCAUCAGCACGGCGCGGUGAAUACGUUCCC
rnacentral:rRNA from 1 species